rnacentral:tRNA from 3 species
GCGAUUUUAGUUUAAUUAAAAUAAUAGUUUGUCUCACUAUUGAUGGUGUUUACCAGAUUGCU